AUAAAGUCGUAACAAGGUUUCCGUAGGUGAACCUGCGGAAGGAUCAUUA
rnacentral:ncRNA from 2 species